rnacentral:rRNA from 1 species
UACGAAGGGGGCUAGCGUUGUUCGGAAUCACUGGGCGUAAAGGGCGCGUAGGCGGCUUUAUAAGUCGGGGGUGAAAGCCUGUGGCUCAACCACAGAAUUGCCUUCGAUACUGUAGAGCUUGAGACCGGAAGAGGUAAGUGGAACUGCGAGUGUAGAGGUGAAAUUCGUAGAUAUUCGCAAGAACACCAGUGGCGAAGGCGGCUGACUGGUCCGGAUCUGACGCUGAGGCGCGAAAGCGUGGGGAGCAAACAGG